AGAGUUUGAUCCUGGCUCAGAACGAACGCUGGCGGCAUGCCUAACACAUGCAAGUCGAACGAGACCUUCGGGUCUAGUGGCGCACGGGUGCGUAACGCGUGGGAAUCUGCCCUUGGGUUCGGGAUAACAGUUGGAAACGACUGCUAAUACCGGAUGAUGACUUCGGUCCAAAGAUUUAUCGCCCAGGGAUGAGCCCGNGUAGGAUUAGCUUGUUGGUGAGGUAAGAGCUCACCAAGGCGACGAUCCUUAGCUGGUNUGAGAGGAUGAUCAGCCACACUGGGAAUGAGACACGGCCCAGACUCCUACGGGAGGCAGCAGUGGGGAAUAUUGGACAAUGGGCGAAAGCCUGAUCCAGCAAUGCCGCGUGAGUGAUGAAGGCCUUAGGGUUGUAAAGUUUUNUACCNGG
rnacentral:rRNA from 1 species